GUCGCCAGCGCUGAGCAAAGGGACGCCUGGUUGUUGGUGGUGUUCUAAUAUCAAUCAGGAGCAGAGCAGAUGGUAGUGCUUUGUUCAUCCUAGCUCAAUGUCUGGCUCGGUGUGCAAAGCUGUUUUAUGCCCAGGACACAAAA